GACGAACGCUGGCGGCGUGCUUAACACAUGCAAGUCGAACGGAAAGGCCCUGCUUUUGUGGGGUGCUCGAGUGGCGAACGGGUGAGUAACACGUGAGUAACCUGCCCUUGACUUUGGGAUAACUUCAGGAAACUGGGGCUAAUACCGGAUAGGAGCUCCUGCUGCAUGGUGGGGGUUGGAAAGUUUCGGCGGUUGGGGAUGGACUUGCGGCUUAUCAGCUUGUUGGUGGGGUAGUGGCUUGCCAAGGCUUUGACGGGUAGCCGGCCUGAGAGGGUGACCGGCCACAUUGGGACUGAGAUACGGCCCAGACUCCUACGGGAGGCAGCAGUGGGGAAUAUUGCACAAUGGGCGGAAGCCUGAUGCAGCAACGCCGCGUGCGGGAUGACGGCCUUCGGGUUGUAAACCGCUUUCGCCUGUGACGAAGCGUGAGUGACGGUAAUGGGUAAAGAAGCACCGGCUAACUACGUG
rnacentral:rRNA from 1 species